AAAAAAAAAAAGAAGAAGAAGAAGAAGAGGAGAGAGAGAGAGAGAGAAAGAGAGAGAGGAUUUUCCCUCUGCCGGGCAACUUUAGUUUUGAAUUAGGAGAAUUUGGGUAAAAUAAGGCAAACAUUUUGGUUGUAAACAUUAUUAGACAUGCGACUAUGUUACUGGAGGAAGUAAGUCAUCAGGCCACCUUCGCCCAGCAGUAGUAAGGACAGGAUUGAUUACUAUCAUUUUUUACCUGGAUUUUCCUUAGAGUAGAAGAAUGGACAAGAGACACCUUUAGAAAGUCUUUCCAUAUAGUUUCCACUUAUUUCACCUAUGGAAUCUCCAUAAACUUCAUUUUUCCCCUUCUAAACCUUCCCAAAAUUCAGGAGGUAAGCCUGUAUUCAGACAACCAAAAAUACUACAAAGUUUGCUUACAAGGAGUCCCAUGUCCUCGGUGCCUAUCCCAUGUCUAGCAGGUGGCUCAGUUCACGUGGGCUGAACUGCACUGGACUUCUCUGCUGGCUGUCAGGUCUCGCUCAUCUGGAGAGAAUAUUCUGCAACCCCCAGGCUCUUUACCAACGCCACUGGUUCCUUAUAAACAGGGCACAGAGAAGAAAACACAGAAGACACAAAUAAUUCAAGGCCACAUGCAUGGGACCGGGGCAGCCUGCCAAGCUCUUCUUUCGUUCCUUCUCUAAUCAUUCAUUCCCUAAAGCUGAUAGAAGCCUUCGGGAUUAGAGCUUCAACUGUGGUCAUCGAAGCCCACCAGGAUGCCACCACAGACCACAGACUGGCCCCACCGUUCUCUUCCUCCCCCAGCCUUCCCCUCAGUGCCACUGUUGGGAGCUCUUUCUGUGUCUCCAGGGGCUCUCAGAUAACCAGGGUCCCUGGUGAAUUCCCGGCAAACACAGAUGCACCAUGUCGUUUGCAUGAGUGUCGCUGGCCCUGGCUGCUGGGGCGGGCUGGCCUGCUGCUUGGUGCAACAUCCAUCAGUCACUUCUGCCAAGGCCCCUACUCUGUCCUGACCCCUGGUGGAGGUCAUGGGGUUGGGGCACUGGGACUGGGAUAGGAGAUGAACAUGACAGCUUUUAGGAAGAAGGUAUCUUGGUUUCCUCCAGAAAAACCCUUCCAUUUCUUUAAACCCACCACAAGCCACUUUGAGGGGACUGCCUGAGCACCCCAUGUUCCCCAUCGACCUCCCCUCUUUGCCCUCCCACUGACUCCCCGACCCCCGGCGGGCGCAGGUCGGUACUCACGCUGCUGGGGUGGAGGACGGGCAGAGGCAGCAGCAGGAGCGGGACGCAGACGACCAGCAGCAGCUUCCGGGCUCGGAGCAGGCCCUGCAGCAGGCCCAUCGCGCCGCUGUCCUCUCCAGCUCGUCCUCGGACCCCGCUCUGCCGGCGAAGGGCUUCCUCCCUGGGCACUGCUCUCUAUCCAGAAAGACUUCUUAAACCUUUCUUGGCUUCCAAGAGUCCUCCUUCGUCUUGGGGGCAGAACUGGAGGGCAGUUAUACCCUCGCUGUUUCUACAAGAGGCUGGGCUCCCGGCCUCCUGCUUUAGGUGGGAUUGAUGAGCAUCGUUUUGUGACCAGCAAAAAGGAACUGGGAAAGGAUGAUAAACGGGGGCAUAGUGGGCCUUCUCUCGGCUUGAUUAGUAAUAGAGUAACUUCAUUCUAGGUGUCAGCAAAAACCCUCUUAAUCCAUUAAACCACACCUUUGCUGCUGCUG